CUGGAGUUAUGUAUGGUUGUUUGCUACCACGUGGGUACUGGGAUUCAAACCUGGGUCUUCUGCAAGAAUAGCCAGUGCUCUUAACCAUUGAGCCAUCUUUCCAGCCCCUUUUUUAGAAUAUCUUAAGCUGAAGAUACAGCUACAUUGGUGGAGUACCUGCCUAGCAUGCACAAAAUCCUGGGUUCAGUCCCCAGUACCACAUAAACCAAGGAUUGUAAAGCAUAAUUGUAAUCCUUUCAUUCAGGAGGUGGAAGAAUUAGAAAUUCAAGGUCAUCCUCUGAUACAUAGCAAAUUCAAGGCCAGACUGUGAUACAUGAUACACUGUCUCAAAAUUCUUUAGAUAAGAAUAUAAUGUAUUAUUGUGUUCCUUAGGUGUCUAAAACAGCACCAACAGGAGAGUAUUUGACAACAGGAAGCUUCAUGAUAAGAGGAAAAAAGAAUUUCCUUCCUCCUUCAUAUCUAAUGAUGGGGUUUAGCUUCCUCUUUAAGGUAGAUGAGUCUUGUAUUUGGAGACAUCGAGGUGAACGAAAAGUCAGAAUACAGGAUGAAGACUCGGAAACACUGGCAAGUUGCACAAGUGAACUCAUAUCAGAAGAAAUGGAACAGCUAGGUAGUUCAUAUAUUUUAAUAACUUAGCUUAUAAUUUCUGUGUGUUUGUGUGUGUGUGUGUUGUGUUUGUGUAUGUGUAUGUUAGGACACAUGUGCACAUGCACAUGGAGGCCACGGGACAAACCCACAUUGCUCCUCAGGUGCCAUCUACUUUUCUCUUGACACUGGGUAUCACACAGGCAUGGGGCUUGCUGAUUAGGCUACACUGACUGGCUAGCAAGCCUCAGGGUUCUGCCUGUUCUCCUCAUCAUCACUGGAUUACAAGUGCUUGCCACCAC
rnacentral:lncRNA from 1 species